UUCAAUUUAAUUUGAGGUUAUAAUCGGAAAUCAAUUGGGAUUUCGGUACGAAAUUUUCGGUGUUUUUGUAUUUUUAUCCGUUUUAGCUGAUGUAUUCCUAUUUUAACCAUGAAUAGCAUUGGUAAAGAGUGCACAGAGCUAAAACAAAAGUAUGAUGAUUGCUUUAAUAGUUGGUUUUCAGACAAAUUCUUAAAAGGUGAUCAUGACGAUUCAGUGUGCUCUGGAAUAUUCAAAGUUUAUCAAGAAUGUGUAAAGAAUGCAAUGAAACAGCAAAACAUCGACUUCAAAGAGAUUGAUAAGGAUAUCCUCGGCACUGACAAAGAGUUCAAAGUUCCUCCUUCAAGUACUGGGAGUUGACAGUUGUCUAGAUUGCUGUGUUUGUUCAGCCCAUCUGUUUGUUGGAACACCUCAAGAUUGCCUCUAACUGAACAUGAAAAAUUAGCAAUAAAAUGCAAAGAUGUUGAAAAUAAUAAUUGCGCUGAUGUAGACAAUGUUUACGUUUAAUUUCACAUUAUAAAUGUGUUCCUGUCUAUCAUUUCAUCAUAAUUGUUAUGUGUUGUAUGUUUAGAUAUUAUCUUUGAUUUGAAACAGGGCUUAAUGUUAAGCAAAAAUAUGUAUUUAGAUUAUUGUGAUAAAGAAUGACAUUUUAAUUCACAAUUUUUAUUGUAAUUAGUGUGUGAAUGGCUUGUUAGAUGUAGUAGCUAUUUAAUUUAUGUAUGUGUUAGAUUGAUAUAAUAUAUCUUUUCUUUUAAUAAAUGUUACUAAAAUUAUAUUGUUUGGCUUAAAUUAUUGAGUAGCAUCUGAUACAACUAUUAAUGGUUGAGAUUUCUUUCUAAGAUUAACCUUAGUAUAUUAUUAGCACCUAUAAAGAAAUGCUGACUUAAAAAAUCGUGCAUAUUACGUAGGUACCUAUUGCAUGUAGUAAAUCAACCUAUGUGAAGCUAAAAAGUAUUUUACAAAACACUAGUAAACUGGAAGGCACUCAACUCUUAUGUAUAGAGAAGUAAACUUUAUACUGGACAAAGGUAUUGGUUUGGUUGGAUGGCAAAGCACAAAACUCUCCAGUUCUUCCAUCAUGUAUAGUAUAAAAAAGAAAUACUCUUUACAUAGUCUAUGAAUUCUAAAAUUAAAUAGAAUUUUUUAUACAUUGACAUUAUUUUUGACGGGUUUUUCAGUUCCAAAAUAAAUUUUAUUUUUACUAAAUUUUUUCAUGAAUAAUUUGAUAAAUGUGUAAAUAACUAAUUUUGACGUAGGUAAUCAUCACUGCCCAACUAUUCGUCAACCGAUGAAGAAAUUGUAAAAAUUGAAAUCCUUUUACUAUGAAAUGAAAAUUUGAAGUGUACCUAUUUGACCAUGGAUUCAGAGCCAAAAGAUUGUGCUCAUACUGAGAAGCAUGGAAGGAAGCGCGCCCGCGAGAGCAGCGGCGGCGGCAGCGGCGGCAAGCGGAGCUGCUGCAAGCCCGUCAAGCGGCACUGCAGCAAGCGGCGCCGCAGCCGCAGCCGGAAGUGUGGCGCGCGCCGCAAGAGCCGGAAGUGUGGCGUGCGCCGCCACAAGAGCAAGUGUGGUGUGCGCCGCCACAAGAGCCGCUGUGGACGCAGCCGCCAUCGUAGGAAGAAGACCCACCGCACGUGCUGCCGUACUCCCUGCGGCACGUUCAAGCGCUGCCGCAAGUGCGACAAGCGCUGGAAGCUGCGCCUGCCCAAGCGCUGUCGCAGCCACUCGCGUUGAUUGACGCAGGAUUUUGUGAAAUUUGAAGUGUGAAGAAAGAGUGUUUUGUGAUAUUUUAUGAAAUUUACAGUGAUCUCGUAUUUGUACCUACUUAUUUGUGAGAAUUUAAUAAUCAUGCAUUUAUUUAUA